AGUGAACGCUGGCGGUAGGCCUAACACAUGCAAGUCGAACGGCAGCACAGUAAGAGCUUGCUCUUACGGGUGGCGAGUGGCGGACGGGUGAGGAAUACAUCGGAAUCUACUUUUUCGUGGGGGAUAACGUAGGGAAACUUACGCUAAUACCGCAUACGACCUACGGGUGAAAGCAGGGGAUCUUCGGACCUUGCGCGAUUGAAUGAGCCGAUGUCGGAUUAGCUAGUUGGCGGGGUAAAGGCCCACCAAGGCGACGAUCCGUAGCUGGUCUGAGAGGAUGAUCAGCCACACUGGAACUGAAAAACGGUCCGGACUCCUACGGGAGGCAGCAGUGGGGAAUAUUGGACAAUGGGCGCAAGCCUGAUCCAGCAAUACCGCGUGGGUGAAGAAGGCCUUCGGGUUGUAAAGCCCUUUUGUUGGGAAAGAAAAGCAGCAGGUUAAUACCCCGCUGUUCUGACGGUACCCAAAGAAUAAGCACCGGCUAACUUCGU
rnacentral:rRNA from 1 species